rnacentral:rRNA from 2 species
UGAGGAAUAUUGGUCAAUGGGCGCAAGCCUGAACCAGCCAUCCCGCGUGAAGGAUGAAGGCCCUAUGGGUCGUAAACUUCUUUUAUAUGCCAAGAAAGGUGCCCACGUGUGGGUAUUUGACGGUAGUAUAUGAAUAAGCAUCGGCUAACUCCGUGCCAGCAGCCGCGGUAAUACGGAGGAUGCGAGCGUUAUCCGGAUUCAUUGGGUUUAAAGGGUGCGUAGGCGGUUCUUUAAGUCAGUGGUGAAAUCCUGCGGCUCAACCGUAGAACAGCCAUUGAUACUGAAGGACUUGAAUAUAAUUGAGGUAAGCGGAAUGAGUAGUGUAGCGGUGAAAUGCUUAGAUAUUACUCAGAACACCAAUUGCGAAGGCAGCUUACCAAGCUAUAAUUGACGCUGAGGCACGAAAGCGUGGGGAUCGAACAGG